rnacentral:rRNA from 1 species
CCUACGGGAGGCAGCAGUAGGGAAUUUUCGGCAAUGGGCGAAAGCCUGACCGAGCAACGCCGCGUGAACGCAGAAGGUCUUCGGAUUGUAACGUUCUGUUGUAGAGGAAGAACGGUGUACGUAGGAAAUGACGGACAAGUGACGGUAAUCUGUGAGGAAGCCACGGCUAACUACGUGCCAGUAGCCGCGGUAAUACGGAGGGGGCGAGCGUUAACCGGAAUCAUUGGGCGUAAAGAGGGAGCCGGCGGCCUGGAGGGUCUAUUUUUAAAAGGCAGUGGCUUAACCAUUGCAAGGCGAAGACACCGGCAGGCUAGAGUUCUAUAGAGGAUCGUGGAAUUCCAUGUGUAGCGGUGAAAUGCGUAGAUAUAUGGAGGAACACCAGUGGCGAAGGCGACGAUCUGGGAAGAAACAGACGCUGAGUCCCGAAAGCGUGGGGAGCAAAUAGGAUUAGAUACCCGAGUAGUC